AGAAUCAACGCUGGCGGCGUGCCUAACACAUGCAAGUCGAACGAGAAAGUGGAGCAAUCCAUGAGUAAAGUGGCGACCGGGUGAGUAACACGUGACUAACCUACCUUCAAGUGGGGGAUAACCUAGGGAAACCUGGGCUAAUACCGCAUAACAUCCUUAGAGUGGAAACUCCGGGGAUCAAAGGAGCAAUUCGCUGGAAGAGGGGGUCGCGGCUGAUUAGCUAGUUGGCGGGGUAAUGGCCCACCAAGGCUUUGAUCGGUAGCCGGCCUGAGAGGGCGCACGGCCACACUGGAACUGAAACACGGUCCAGACUCCUACGGGAGGCAGCAGUGGGGAAUUUUGCGCAAUGGGGGAAACCCUGACGCAGCAACGCCGCGUGGAGGAUGAAGUCCCUUGGGACGUAAACUCCUUUCGACCGGGACGAUAAUGACGGUACCGGUAGAAGAAGCCCCGGCUAACUUCGUGCCAGCAGCCGC
rnacentral:rRNA from 1 species